AAAUUGACGGGGACCCGCACAAGCGGUGGAUGAUGUGGUUUAAUUCGAUGCAACGCGAAAACCUUACCUACCCUUGACAUGGCAGGAAUCCUGCAGAGAUGUGGGAGUGCUCGCAAGAGAACCUGCACACAGGUGCUGCAUGGCUGUCGUCAGCUCGUGUCGUGAGAUGUUGGGUUAAGUCCCGCAACGAGCGCAACCCUUGCCAUUAGUUGCUACGAAAGGGCACUCUAAUGGGACUGCCGGUGACAAACCGGAGGAAGGUGGGGAUGACGUCAAGUCCUCAUGGCCCUUAUGGGUAGGGCUACACACGUCAUACAAUGGCCGGUACAGAGGGCUGCCAACCCGCGAGGGGGAGCCAAUCCCUACAAAACCGGUCGUAGUCCGGAUUGCAGUCUGCAACUCGACUGCAUGAAGUCGGAAUCGCUAGUAAUCGCGGAUCAGCACGCCCGCGGUCGAAUACGUUCCGGGCCUU
rnacentral:rRNA from 1 species